AUCUUUUUUAAUAAUAAGAUCUUUUAAAAAAAAUUAUGCUGUUAUCCCUAAGGUAAUUAAUUUUAAUAAUUCAAAAAUUUAAGAUUUUUUAUUCAAUAAUUUUUGUUAAAAUUAAAAAAAAUUUUUUAAAUUUUUUAAUUACCCCAAUUAAAUUUAUUAAAAAAAUUUAUUAAAAAAAAUUUAAUUUAUAAUUUUAUUAAUAAAUAAAAUUCUAUAGGGUCUUGUCGUCUUUUAAAAUUAUUUAAGUUUUUUUACUUAAAUAAAAAUUUUAAUUAUAUUUAAAUUGAGACAGUUUAUAUUUCAUUUAAUCCUUCAUUCUAGUUUUUAAUUAAAAAACAAAUUAUUAUGCUACCUUUGUACAGUUAUUAAUUCUGCGCCAUUA
rnacentral:rRNA from 1 species